AAAAUAUGCGCCAAACUCUCUGCAACAUAAUGCAGGAGAAACAAAUGGAAAAUUACAUUCACCAGAAAUUACAAAAAGGACCUAUGCAAAUAUAUCAGCAAAGGAUUGCGAAGAUGGAGACAAAUUCAUCAAAAGAUGGAAAUAGAACCAUUGAAUCUACAAGACACCAAAUAUGCCCAUGUGCAGGGUCCACGGCCCUAAAGCUGCUCAAAAUGGUACAUGAUGCCAUAAAACACCCAAAUUGCAAAAAGCAUGAAAUAAUAAAAUCCUAAUACCAUUAAGAAUUUUUUCUGAAAUAACCUGGUAACCAAAU
rnacentral:misc_RNA from 1 species